UGGUGUUUGAGCCAUAGUUUCUCACUAUAACACCUCGAGGGUAAUCUGACGCCACCGUCUAUGCCAGUUUCUUAAAGGGCGCUGUGCCAUCAUGGGAAUGGCGGG
rnacentral:lncRNA from 1 species